rnacentral:rRNA from 1 species
GGCAUCGGCGCUGCAUUUUGGAUGCACCAGUUUCCGAUGGAUCAUUAAAGUUGAGCAACAUUACUCGUGCUGGAUAGUAUCUAAAUGGGUGACCAUCUGGGCAAUCUCGUGCUGUUGGCU